UAUUUCUCUGUCUCUAUCUUUCUAAUUACAACAACCUCUAGUCACGUUUCCUCCCGCCUUUGGAUCAGCUGUUCGGCAACCGCCAUGGCGCACGCGAUGUCAAAACGUCGGAAACGUUCUCUUAUUUCGCGAGUUUUACCCUUCGAAAGGAUAUUCUCGUGAGUUUCGAUUAUGUAAAUACGCGUAUUACAAAUGUUCAUUCGUCCUACGUAUUCGUGUAUUAUGCUUUCGCAAAAAGUAUUAUUCCAUUUUUCAUAUAUGUGAUUGACGUCGUGAAUGUGAUUUCAUUCGAGGGUUGCUCCGUUUGCAGAUUUUUUUCAACCUCGCAGGGGUUCAAUGAUGUGAGUCGUCGUACACACCGGAGAACGUCAAAUGUCAAACAUCACAAUGGGGUGAAUAAGACGUGACAAUAACCGCGACGAAGAAGGCGUGAGUUGUCGAAGAAGGAAAACGAAAAGAAAGAAAGAAAGUAAGAAAGAAAUAAAGAAUAAAAAGAAGGAAAGAAAGAAAAGGAAGGAAGGAAGGAAGGAAGGAAGAAAAGAAGGAAGGAAGGAAGAAAGAAAGAAGAAAUAAAAACGAGGACAUCGUCUCUCGAGGCUAUUUAACGAAGACCCGAAGGUACAAAGCCUGCUCAUCCUCUUCCUUGUUGUUGGAGGAACGGUAAAUCUUUGAUGUCCGACAAACGGUAGAGGGAGUUUUUGAAGAACUCGUUUCGUGUUCAACGAAUCACGCUGGAAUCCUCCUCUCCCCGCAAUCUCGUCUUUUUAGUUUCAAACGAGCUGUUUACGGUUGCAGGAGAGAAGUUUUGUUGUUCUGCUGGAAGGUUUAUCGCGUGACGUAUUCGUGUGUAAUGCAUCCGUGUAACGCAUCCGUGUAACGCAUCCGUGUAACGCCAUGCGUUCCUUCUAAAGUAAACAAACAUCUCAAUGCUGUGCUCUUUUAUUUCUUGUUAAUUUUAUUUGCGAUAUAUUUAUAUAUACCCCAAGAUAAGCGGAAAGUUAUUCUAUCUUCAACCCCCUCGACAAUUUGAAAUUGAAUAUACAAUUUUGUUCGAUAACUUUUAUUUUGGGUAAGAAAUAUUUUUAAAAGUUAUUCUUCUACUGGAU